rnacentral:rRNA from 1 species
AGAUUGAACGCUGGCGGCAUGCUUUACACAUGCAAGUCGAACGGUAACAGGCCGCAAGGUGCUGACGAGUGGCGAACGGGUGAGUAAUGUAUCGGAACGUGCCCAGUCGUGGGGGAUAACGCAGCGAAAGCUGCGCUAAUACCGCAUACGAUCUACGGAUGAAAGCGGGGGACCUAAGGCCUCGCGCGAUUGGAGCGGCCGAUAUCAGAGUUAGGUACGUUGGUGGGGUAAAGGC